AGAAGAUAUUUAUCUAGAGAAUAAUCGAGGAAAGUUGAGAUAGAGACAAUCAGAUCAGAUGAAAGGGACAUCAGGAAAGGGGGUACAUAUGUAGGAUGGUUACAUGGAUAUAUUGUGUGAUGCUGAGGUUUGGGCUUCCACUGAACCUGUCACCCAAAUAGUGAACACAGUACACAAUAGAUUCAACCUUUGCCCCCUAGGAUCCCUCCCCCUUUAUGGAAUCCCCAGUGUCUAUUGUUCCCACCUUAUAAAGGGUAUUUUAAAAGUGA
rnacentral:lncRNA from 10 species